rnacentral:rRNA from 1 species
GACGAACGCUGGCGGCGCGCCUAACACAUGCAAGUCGAACGAAGUUAAAUUAGCUGAAGUUUUCGGAUGGAAGCAGAUUUAGCUUAGUGGCGAACGGGUGAGUAACACGUGAGCAACCUGCCCUUCAGUGGGGGACAACAGUUGGAAACGACUGCUAAUACCGCAUAAGACCACAGUACCGCAUGGUACCGUGAUCAAAGGAUUUAUUCGCUGAAGGAUGGACUCGCGCCUGAUUAGCUAGAUGGUGAGGUAACGGCCCACCAUGGCAACGAUCAGUAGCCGGACUGAGAGGUUGAUCGGCCACAUUGGGACUGAGACACGGCCCAGACUCCUACGGGAGGCAGCAGUGGGGGAUAUUGCACAAUGGAGGAAACUCUGAUGCAGCGACGCCGCGUGAGGGAAGAAGGUUUUCGGAUUGUAAACCUCUGUCUUCGGGGACGAAACAAAUGACGGUACUCGAGGAGGAAGCCACGGCUAACUACGUG